GACGAACGCUGGCGGCGUGCUUAACACAUGCAAGUCGAACGAUGAACCCGGAGCUUGCUCUGGGGGAUUAGUGGCGAACGGGUGAGUAACACGUGAGUAACCUGCCCUGGACUCUGGGAUAAGCGUUGGAAACGACGUCUAAUACCGGAUAGGACCUUGGAUCGCAUGAUCUGGGGUGGAAAGUUUUUUCGGUCUGGGAUGGACUCGCGGCCUAUCAGCUUGUUGGUGAGGUAAUGGCUCACCAAGGCGUCGACGGGUAGCCGGCCUGAGAGGGUGACCGGCCACACUGGGACUGAGACACGGCCCAGACUCCUACGGGAGGCAGCAGUGGGGAAUAUUGCACAAUGGGCGAAAGCCUGAUGCAGCAACGCCGCGUGCGGGAUGACGGCCUUCGGGUUGUAAACCGCUUUUAGUAGGGAAGAAGGGCUUCGGCUUGACGGUACCUGCAGAAAAGGGACCGGCUAACUACG
rnacentral:rRNA from 1 species